rnacentral:rRNA from 1 species
AURAAGAACGUAGCGAAAUGCGAUACUUGGUGUGAAUUGCARAAUCCCGUGAACCAUCGAGUCUUUGAACGCAAGUUGCGCCUGAAGCCAUUAGGCUAAAGGCACGUCUGCCUGGGCGUCACUCAUCGCGUCACCCCAUCUCGA